UGGUCUGAGAGGACGAUCAGCCACAUUGGGACUGAGACACGGCCCAGACAUCUACGGAUGGCAGCAGUUAAGAAUAUUGGACAAUGGGGGCAACCCUGAUCCAGGUAUACCGCGUGUGUGAAGAAGGCCCUAGGGUUGUAAAGCACUUUAAUCAGAGAAGAAGCAUUUUAAGUUAAUACCUUAAUAUGUUGACGUUACCUGAAGAAUAAGGACCGGCUAACUCCGUGCCAGCAGCCGCGGUAAUACGGAGGGUCCAAGCGUUAAUCGGAAUUACUGGGCGUAAAGCGCGCGUAGGCGGUUUAGCAAGUUGUAUGUGAAAGCCCUGGGCUCAACCUAGGAACUGCAUCCAAAACUACUAAGCUAGAGUACGAGAGAGGAGAGUAGAAUUUCUGGUGUAGCGGUGAAAUGCGUAGAUAUCAGAAGGAAUACCAAUGGCGAAGGCAGCUCUCUGGCUCGUCACUGACGCUGAGGUGCGAAAGCGUGGGUAGCAAACAGGAUUAGAUACCCUGGUAGUCCACGCCGUAAACGAUGAGAACUAGCCGUUGGGCAGAUUUAACUGUUCAGUGGCACAGCUAACGCAUUAAGUUCUCCGCCUGGGGAGUACGGCCGCAAGGCUAAAACUCAAAUGAAUUGACGGGGGCCCGCACAAGUGGUGGAGCAUGUGGUUUAAUUCGAUGCAACGCGAAGAACCUUACCAACCCUUGAAAUCUAGCGAAGUUCACAGAGAUGAGAAUGUGCCUUCGGGAACGCUAUGACAGGUGUUGCAUGGCUGUCGUCAGCUCGUGUCGUGAGAUGUAUGGUUAAGUCCAGUAACGAGCGCAACCCCUAUCCUUAUUUGCCAGCGCGUUAAGGCGGGAACUAUAGGGAGACUGCCGGGUGAAACCCGGAGGAAGGCGGGGACGAGGUCAAGUCAUCAUGGCCCUUAUGGGUUGGGCUACACACGUGCUACAAUGGGAAGUACAGAGGGAUGCGAAAGCGCGAGCUGGAGCCAAACCCUUAAAACUUUUCUUAGUCCGGAUUGGAGUCUGCAACUCGA
rnacentral:rRNA from 1 species